CUCUCGAUAGCUCAGUUGGUAGAGCGAUUGACUGUAGAUGGCGACAUAGAUGUAUAUCAAUCGGUCGCUGGUAAGUGCUUCAUCCCGGAUUUUCCGACCAUGGGUGAAUCCAAAACUAACACUAUCAUCGUGUAAAUAAUAACUUACCAGGUUCGAUUCCGGCUCGAGAGA